rnacentral:rRNA from 1 species
UACGUAGGGACCGAGCGUUGUCCGGAAUCAUUGGGCGUAAAGAGCGUGUAGGCGGCCUUUUAAGUCCUGCGUGAAAUCCUGCGGCUCAACCGCAGACGGUCGUGGGAAACUGGAAGGCUAGAGUGCGGGAGAGGAGAGUGGAACUCCCGGUGUAGCGGUGAAAUGCGCAGAUAUCAGGAAGAACACCCGUGGCGAAGGCGGCUCUCUGGGACGGUACUGACGCUGAGACGCGAAAGCGUGGGGAGCGAACAGG